rnacentral:rRNA from 1 species
UACGUAUGUGGCGAGCGUUACUCGGAAUCACUGGGCGUAAAGAGUACGUAGGCGGACUUAUAAGUCAGAGGUGAAAUUUCAGGGCUCAACCUUGAACCUGCCUUUGAAACUGUUAGUCUUGAGUAUGUGAGAGGAAGAUGGAAUUCCUGGUGUAGCGGUGGAAUGCGUAGAUAUCAGGAAGAACACCGGUGGCGAAGGCGGUCUUCUGGCACAAUACUGACGCUGAGGUACGAAAGCGUGGGGAGCGAACAGG